GAUGAACGCUAGCUCCAGGCUUAACACAUGCAAGUCGCGGGACCGGCGCACGGGUGAGUAACGCGUAUCCAACCUGCCCUUCACCACGGGAUAACCCGGCGAAAGUCGGACUAAUACCGUAUGGUGGAGGAUGGGGAUGCGUCCGAUUCGCUUGAAGGCGGGGUAACGGCCAAGCGUGGGUCCGAGCGGGAGGGGUUCUGAGAGGAAGGUCCCCCACACUGGAACUGAGACACGGUCCAGACUCCUACGGGAGGCAGCAGUGAGGAAUAUUGGUCAAUGGGCGUAAGCCUGAACCAGCCAAGUAGCGUGCAGGACGACGGCCUAUGGGUUGUAAACUGCUUUUAUGCGGGGAUAGGUACCGCAUGAAUAAGGACCGGCUAAUUCCGUGCCAGCAGCCGCGGUAAUUC
rnacentral:rRNA from 1 species